rnacentral:misc_RNA from 1 species
ACCCCGCAGUUUCUCAGUCCAUGGGCGUUACGUUGCCUUCACUCGCGUAAAUUGCGGCGGCCAUUUUUAGAAUCAUUAAAAGUAAAUUAUCAUUGAAUAGGCAAAGUGCAAAAUAUUGGCAAUUUUUAUCAUUAACUGACGAAAUUACUUAUCCAAAAGUAUUUUAACCAGGUAUGUCCCUCUAAAUUUUAUCUUACCUCUGGUCCAAAAUUCGUAAACCAGCAGCUAUAUAUAAGUAACGCCGGAUUUCUUUUUGAGAUAAUUACCUAUUUACAUCGUUGUUCAACUAUGCCUUUUCACAGCCGCUUAUUACGAUUUGUUGGUUUUCGAAUUGCUCGUCGCAAAAAUAAAUAAAAAUUAAUUCUUGAGGCUGUACCGGUAACACUGAGUUCGUUUACCUACCGGCGCAGCGGUGGACAAUGUUGGCGGGAAAAUCGAAAAGUUGCCGUCAUAACAUACUUUUCCUUAAUUUAACGUCUCUGCUAUUCAUAGCUAUGGCAGAAGGGAAUGGUGAAUUGGCAGGAGAAGAGUCGAUGAAAGUCGAAGAUAAUCAGCAGAGGACGGAAGAUUAUCAGAAAUUACUUGAAUAUGGCCUAGACGAAAAAGUGGCGGCAAAACUUGACGACAUCUACAAGACUGGUAAAUUGGCCCACGUCGAUCUGGAUGAGCGGGCUCUUGACGCAUUAAAAGAAUUUCCAGUUGAUGGUGCACUUAAUGUACUGGGACAGUUUCUUGAAUCAAAUCUGGAACAUGUUUCGAAUAAGUCAGCUUACUUAUGUGGCGUAAUGAAAACAUAUCGUCAAAAAAGUCGAGCUGGAUCAAGUCAAGGUCCACCUACACCUGCCGCGGCUCCAGUCAAGGGGCCCGAUGAAGACAAAAUAAAAGCAAUACUUGAGAGAACAGGAUACACAUUAGAUGUUACAACAGGUCAGAGAAAGUAUGGUGGUCCUCCUCCAGGUUGGGAGGGUCCAACUCCUGGUCCCGGUUGCGAAGUGUUUUGCGGCAAGAUUCCAAAGGAUAUGUAUGAAGACGAACUGAUCCCAUUAUUUGAACAGUGUGGUACAAUUUGGGACUUACGACUAAUGAUGGACCCAAUGACGGGGACGAAUCGGGGCUACGCAUUUGUAACCUUCACAGGACGCGACGCUGCCCAGGCAGCCGUUCAAAAGCUUGAUAAUUACGAAAUCAAACCAGGCAAGACGCUGAAAAUUAACAUAAGCGUUCCGAACCUUCGGCUUUUCGUCGGCAACAUACCAAAGUCUAAAGGCAAAGAGGAGAUACUGGAAGAGUUCAGUAAAUUGACAGCCGGCCUGGUUGAGGUGAUAAUCUACAGCUCCCCCGAUGACAAGAAAAAGAACCGCGGUUUUUGUUUUCUUGAGUAUGAAUCACACAAGGCGGCGUCGUUGGCAAAACGGCGCCUUGGUACUGGUCGUAUCAAGGUUUGGGGUUGCGAUAUAAUUGUCGAUUGGGCCGAUCCACAGGAGGAACCCGACGAACAGACGAUGGCCAAAGUAAAGGUGUUAUAUGUACGCAACUUGACGCAGGAAAUCACGGAAGAGAAAUUGAAAGAAGCAUUUGAACAAUAUGGGAAGGUGGAGCGGGUCAAAAAGAUUAAAGACUAUGCGUUCAUACAUUUUGAAGAACGAGAGCAUGCCGUUAAGGCUAUGACAGAAUUAGAUGGCAAGGAAAUGGGUGGAUCAAAUAUAGAAGUGUCAUUAGCUAAACCGCCGUCUGAUAAAAAGAAAAAAGAAGAAAUUCUGCGUGCUCGAGAGAGAAGAAUGAUGCAAAUGAUGCAAGUUCGAGGGGGCAUGAUGCCAGGCGCUUUGCCUAUGCGUGGUCCUCCAGGUCAAGGUCCGAGGACUGGAACUGGAAUGCGAGCCGGACCCAUGGGACGGGGCGACUACGAUUACGAUUACGACUAUUACGGUUAUGGGGAUUAUCGAGGCGGCUACAGUGAUCCUUAUUAUGACGAGUAUUACCGGUAUGAAGAUUACUAUUACGAUUAUCCACCGCCGGCCCCACCCCAAGCUAGAGGAAGAGGCCGACAACCACAACCGGAGUUGGACGAAGGAACAACGCUGAGUUCUACCGGUUUAUUCUAUGAAGUGAGCUGCGGAACGCAGGCUGGCCGUGGGCGUGGGGUGGUGGCGCGUGGGCGAGCCGGUGGGCCCCCGGCCCGUGGGGCGCCGGCCAACCGGGCGGGCCGGGGCGCAGCGGCCGUGGCCCGUGGAGCGGCCCGCCAGCCCGCUCGUGGAGCAGCCCGCGCCAAGGGAAGUUUACCAGCUGUUUUGUUGGCUGUUGCUUAGUUUUUUUCUUGAACGUCUGCAAACGGAGUUAGGAUGACAAAUCUUAGUCUUUAUUUGUAAGCGGAAGUUAGACGGGGGUCACCAGAACCAGGGGGAGUCAAAGCGCAGAUACCAGAGCAGCUGGGGUAACCAGCCACUGGCGCAGC